AAGGCGGAAGUUAGACACGCUUUACCAGACCUGGUAAGACAGAAUGCUACACUUAAAUUCAAAGGUAAAAUGUGAUCCUUAGCAAUAAAAAUAAAUUUAACUGGUAGGUGGCACUUUAACAAGAGCGAAUUCUAAAUAUAGACGAAUUCAUGCGGAAACACGAGAUACGCUUGAAAAUGAAACUGAAAGGAGUUAAAUAAAAACCAGCAGCGUGUUUUUGUAGCUCGUGUAGCACACGAUUAUAUAAAUAUCAUAACGGUACCAGCUCCAUAAAUUGCGGAAUCCUGAAUUUAAGCAGUAUGCACCGAAACGUACAGUAUAAUAACGACUCAAUGCAGAUUACUCACGUUUCCGUAGCAGCACGCGUUUAAUGGCACGGCCUUACUAAAGAAGCAGGGACGGAUUAUGGGUUGUGUGGGCCCCUGGGCAAAACGUUCGCGAGGGCCCACCACCAGCACCACCACCACAAUUCAAGGGCCCUUGGCAGCCAAACGCCCUCCCUAUAGGGUCAGGGGCCCUUGUAGGCAGAGGAUCAAAGAAUGUAGGCCCUCUAAAAUAGACAAACGAAAAUACAUUGUUGAUAAGUGUUGCAAAUUGUUUUGGGCUAGGGGCCCCACGGGCCCCCUGUACCCCAAGGGCCCCUGGGCAGCGGCCCCGCUGGCCCGGUCCAUAAUCCGUCCCUGUACAGAAAGCACCCCUCCUCCAGGUGCACAUGGCAGCUAGGCUGAGAGGAGAUCAUAGAAUCCUGUCAGUCCAGAUGAAGGAAGUCCCGGUAUGCGAACCAUGCUACCUGUCACAAGUAUGCUGGUGAGUCACCGUCAGUCGUAAUGCAGAGAAUGGUAACAAGUGCACUCAUUGCUGAGCCUUUCACUGUCAAAUUCCAUUCAGGUUUGUCAUUCGCCAUGAAGCUAUGACGUAAGUGUGGGAAAGCGACCGACAUACCAGGAGUGUUUGAAUUUAUCCUAAAGAACAUAAAUCUGUAAUAUACUUACGGCCCCUUCACAUGUUUUCGUCUGGUGAAAAUGUGGUUAAUCCUAUGUCAAAUCAGGAGUCAGAAGUUGCUUGAGUAGAAUCCAAAAGUUAGUCCUUUAUUAUAUACAACAGCGGUCACAUCCAAUGUGGGACACUUGCGCAAGUGUGUCCCAUGGUGAAUUACACUGCUUUUUAUACGCUUUUCAUAUCUCUUCUCAGAGGAGACGUCCCAUCCAUAUUAGUCUUACCAUUAUUCCGUCAUCUAUGGGGUCCACUUACUUCCCCACCCCCUUUUGAUAAAGUUUGUCAAUUAUAUUUUGCAGAAGCACAGUCAUAGAAAAAUGCCACCACGAUGUUUUGUAUACUCAUGCCUAAAGACCCAAAAACCAGCCAAGGAGACAGCGAUGGAGACCCAGGCGAAAUAUGCCCGGAGCUAUACAUGAGAACUCAGCUGUUCCUUCAAUAAUAAUAAACAGUGGCAGUCUUUGGAGGUUUUAGCUAGCCACACGUUGGUUAGAUACAGAGCCUCUGGCAUAGUGAUGAGCAGCAGAGCUAACAAAGGCACAUAUUCAUACAACCAUGGCUAACAUAAGAAAGUGAUACACCCUGUCCCUCUGCCCUGUGACGGCCUGACGGGCUGUCCACGGUGCACCCUGUCCCUCUGCCCUGUGCUGCCUGGGACAGGCUCCAGGUCCCCCUGUAACCCAGACCAGGAUAAGCUUUUGCAUAUUAGCAUGUGGGGAAGUGAUUGUCAGGGAUUUAUGCUUAGUUUUGUCUUUCAAUAUGAAUCUUCACUGAAACAUGCUUUAUGCUCCAUGUGGAAACCACGGCCAGGAUGUGCUGCCAGGGCAGUGAGAAGCCAGUGGUUUUGUUACUUCCCUCUCGCUUCAGCGUCUACAUAUUAGCACAUGAGGAAGUGAGUGUCAGUUCCCACAGAUCUGGGCUCAGUGACACACAGAUGUAUGGAUCCUCUGAUCCUCUGAUGCUCUUCUCAUUGCUGAGCUCACAGGUGAGUGUCACUCAUUACAGUGGUACUGAGUAGAGAUCUCUCUCCUGCUCCUCCACACACUGUCAGAUACAGUUUGGAGGUUAUGAUAUCAAUUGUGAAAUGAUGGUGGUCUUGAGUAAAAACAUCUUUGUCAUAGGUAUUUGAAAUACGUUUUACAUUCUUACAAAUAUACCAUGAAUCAGGUUAUUGAUACUAUAAGAAUAAUAGUUAAAUAUACCGUGGAGCCGUGCAGACCAAGGCAUCACAGUGCCAAAUUAACACAGAUUCACAGGAAAUUGCUCUUUACUCACAACCCUUAAAAUAACCACGCACACGCAACAACACAGCGAGACCAUGAAUGGCAGGGAAACAUGGGGAAGUUAUAUUAAGGAUGGUAAGGCACACACGGCGGUUAAUUUCACAAUGGCUAUGGUACGCGAGGAUCAGGCUGAACCCGAGUACAACCACAGUUAAAGGCACACAACUGGAUGCUCAGCACAGCAAGUAUUUACACUAACAAAUACAAACAGGGGCUAAAUACGCGUGCUCGCGAGGCAUUCUGGGACAUGCAGAUGCCUCUAGCUCAACUAUACUGUGUGAUACUGUCAUCUCCCACAUUUAGUGUUCAAGCAGUAGAAAGACAGAUAAAAUGCAGAUAAACUGUCCUUGUCUUUUGUACCGUUUGCUUUUCUGUGAGUCCUGCGAUUGAUCUUCCUGGGGUCAUUUCAGCAGCACAGGUGGUUAUGUGAGCAGACAGCCGGGAUGCCGUCAGUCAUUUCUGUGUGUACAGUCAGUGGGGUCUAAACACCCAGCUUCAUGUGCUACUGCAGCAGGUCUCUGUUUAUCAGGGCUCAAGAUCUGCCUCAGGGUUUGAGACUAAACCUGUUUGUCUUUCACUCUGCAGCAGUGUUGCAGAGCUAGUUAACUUCUAGCUGGUAGAGACUGGGGGCAGCGUGGGGGCCUCACACCCCCAGGCUUCUGGUUUUGAUAUCCGGCCCAGCUCUCUAUGGGCAGUUUGCAUGGUCUCCCUGUAUCUAUAUCAGUUUUCUCUGAAGUCUCUCACUUCCUCCCACAGUUCAGUGAUAUUCAUGAGUCACAUGUGAAAUACUGGUGCAGAGGGUAUAAUGUAUAUAAUAUACAUAUAUAUAUAUAGACACACACAAGUUGUUCUACCUACCAACUAAGUAUCUAAAUGGGGACCGUCCAUUCAUUUCUGUGCGAAAUACUCUAAUCCCAGUCACAACACCCUUAAGCCCUACCCAGCCCUAACAUUAUCCAUAAGCAACCAACGAAAAUACAAGACUUUUGGCACUUUUACUUUUUUGAUUGCAUUGCAUUUCAGGUUUUACCGCACUUUGGGGACAUUUUGGUCCCCAAAUGUGAUCUAUGCAAAUACACACACACACACACAUACACAAUCCCUCAUUUAUCAUCUGUUGUCUAAUUUGGGUAUUUAUUGGAAUUACAGUUUCCCUGCAGGUGGAACGUUGACCCAGUAGGUGUUGCUGUUGCUUCACACCUCCGUGUUUAGAGGUUUGAAUCUGGCUUCUGCUCUGUCUGUGUGGAGUUUGCAUGUUCUCCACGCGCUGUGUGGGUUUCCUCCCACAGUCCAAAGACAUGCAGUCAUAACAAGGUUCAUAGCAUUAAUACGGUGUGUUGCAUGGCUGUACAUGGUAUUUCAGCUCUUGAAUCCACAAUUUUUUAACCACGUGUUUGCAGAAAUCCAACUCACUGGUCAUUUCUGCUGCUGAUCAUCAUAACGGCAGCUAUAGUUCCCAGGCUGGAGCUGUGCAGGGGGCUGUUAUAGAUGCCUUGCAAUUGACGUGCUGUGCCGGCUCUCUUGUGGCCGAAUAGUGUGGCGUGUGUUCAGGGCAUCAUGUGAACGUUUAUAGCUUAAAUGGGACAGUGUGAUUUAUACUUCAACAUCAUGUUUAUGGGGAAGGCUGACUACCAUCCAGCCCCACCCCGGAAAAUGUUACUAGUCAUUGUGCUGAUAGGACUCCUUCUUCAGCUUGACGGCAUCCCUCACCACCGGUGUCCACCAGCGGGUUGGGGGAUUGCCGCCGCGACAGGCACUGACCACCUUACGGCCAUAGCUCCAGUCAGCUGCCUCCACAAUGUCUCCCGUCUCCCCCGGAAUAUGGAAGAAUUUCUGCUAUACGCUUGGGCCUGCCAGGUCUGACCGGCAUCCUCCCCCACCAGCGGAGCCAACCCACCACCAGGUGGUGAUCAGUUGACAGCUCCGCCCCUCUCCUCACCCGAGUGUCCAAUACAUGCGGCUGCAAGUCUGACGACACGACUACAAAGUCGAUCAUCGAACUGCGGCCUAGGGUGUCCUGGUGCCAAGUGCACAUAUGGACACCCUUAUGCUUGAACAUGGUGUUCAUUAUGGACAAUCCAUGACGAGCACAGAAAUCCAAUAACAAAACACCACUCAGGUUCAGAUCAGGGGGGCCGUUCCUCUCAAUCACGCCCCUCCAGGUCUCACUGUCAUUGCCCACGUGAGCAUUGAAGUCCCCCAGCAGAACAAGAGAGUCCCCAGGAGGAGCGCUCUCCAACACCCCUUCCAAGGACUCCAAAAAGGGUGGGUAUUCCGAACUGCUGUUUGGCGCAUAAGCGCAAACAACAGUCAGGACCCGUCCCCCCACCAGAAGGGGAAAGGAGGCUACCCUCUCGUCCACUGCAGUAAACCCCAAUGUACAGGUGCCCAGCCAGGGGGCAAUAAGUAUGCCCACCCCCACUCAGCGCCUCUCCCCAUGAGCAACUCCAGAGUGGAAAACGGUCCAGAGCCCAAGCCGUGCGUCGAGGUGAGCCCGUCUAUACCUAGCCGGAACUUCACAACCUCAUGCACCAGCUCAGGCUCCUUCCCCAUCAGAGAGGUGACAUUCCAUGUCCCUAGAGCCAGCUUCUGCAGCCGAGGAUUGCGCCAAGGUCCCCGCCUUUGGCCACUGCCCACCCCCAGGCCUGGCUCCAGGGGGGGCCCCCGGUGACCCAUAUCCGGGCAAGGGAAACCAUGGAUCCAAUAUCCUUUUCUUUAUUAGGGGUCUUUUGAGCCGCACUUCAUCUGGUUACUCAACCAGGACCUGUUUGCCUUGGGUGACCCUACCAGGGGCAUAAGGCCCCAGGAAACUUAGCUCCUGGGAUCAUUGGAACAAGCAAACCCCUCCACCACGAUAAGGUGCCAGCUCCAGGAGAGGUAUUUCGUUUUUCUUCUUAAAUAUAAUUUACCUGAGAUUGCAUCCCAUCCAGGGUGAGCCCCUGAGCUUCUGGAUGCUGUACUGAAAGCUGGGACUGGUGUGUUUUAUCUGAUCUGCACCAUCAUCGCCAUUCAGCUGCACUGGAGCUCCUGUAGAAAGAGGGGAACCAAUCAGAGAGAAGCAGAAGGAGGAGCCAAAACAAACCACGAGUCUUAUGAAAUAUGAUCUAUUUUUUAAAUUAAAUAUACAAGCCUAUUAACCCCGUUUGGCUGAUCUGCAGUCUUGGAUUGUCGGCAGGUAACUGGAACUACUAUCGGCCUUUUCGUCACAGGCUCUUUACUGCCACCUGCUGCUUAAUGUUUAAUAAUGGUUUAUUUAUUAGUAUACACAUACACCUCUACUUACGAAUUUCCAACUUAUGAACUCUCAGAAAUAUGAAAGAAGAGGACUGAAAGUAUUUUUCUGGAGUGGGUGAUUAUUAAAAAUAAAAACUAUUUCAAACUAAAAAUAAAUAGUAUGUUGUUUUAGGUCAUGUCUCCCUGUCAAAGAGCACCAAUCAGUGACCCUCUCAGGGUGUGAUGUAACACAUUAAACCUGGACCGCCCACUUUUCUCCCAGCAGUAAAAUCACACCAUUUUGUCUCAGCUGACACUAGCCACACAUAGAGCAUAAGGGAGAAAAGGGGACAUGUCAAAUGUAAAACCAGAACGCAGAAAUAUAGGAUGAAGAGGAGUGUCUGAGGAGCCUGAUGUGUGUCUCACUGAUCUCAGAUCUGUGGGGACUGACACUCACUUCCUGAUUCUCCAUAACUUCACUGUUUCUCUGUCUCUGUCUGUGACUCAGGAGUCCUGGAGUCUAAUGAAGAAUCUGCUUUCCUCUAUCUGAUUGGCUGAUACGAGUUCUAUUCUGUGCCACGUUUUACCACCUGACAGACCACGGCCCACAUGACUAUUUACAGCAAUGGCUGGCUGUGUCAUGUGUAGCACUUUAAGGGCUGCCCAGCAUUUGCUGAGGAGGCCAGAAACACUGCCAUGGGGUGUGUGCCAUGGUGGGAGGUGGGGGUACGAUGUCUGGGAGCAGGGGAGGAAGAGGCAGGGGAGGAAGAGGAGGAGAAAGAGGAGUGCCCAGCGCAGAAGGAAACUGCCUGUCAAAGAGACAAAGGAUAGCACCACUGAUAAUUAAAUGAGCUGUCCUCCAUUUCUACUUCCUGGGGGGGUGACCAUGCUCCCCCCCCUUACACCCAGAUCACUCUGUGCAGUCUAGCUGGACCACCUUUCAGCGUCCAGGCAGCCUAUUGGCUGGGGGUGGGACCUGGUCUGGGCUGACUUCCUGUCCCAUGAAGCUGGGGGGGGGUUCAGUGCUGGUGGUCCUUAGAGUCCUCUUAGGAACCCCUCUUUGAUGGAUUUCCUAUUACUUUAACUACACACACCCCAAUGUUUUCUUCCAGAUUAACUUUCCUGGUCUAAACAUUGUGUGUAAUCUAAUACUGUCACACUGCUGUCAGCAUGUAAUUAAUUCCUGCCGAUAUCACUGACACAAAGUUGGAGGCAGAAAUCCAUGCCAUCAGGGUGUAUGAAUUUGUACACACAGCAGCUCAUGAUUAUUUAGAGUAUUUGACCUGACAGCAGGGAUCAUCCAUCCAUCCAUCCAUCCAUCCAAAAUCUGCUGAAAGGCCCAUCAGUGAAGAAAAGGAUGAAGAGGAGCAUCAGAGGAGCCUUAUGUGUGUCUCACUGACCUCAGAUCUGUGGAGACUGAUACUUACUUACUGACUCUCCAUAACUUUACUGUUUCUCUGUCUUCUCUAUGCUCACAUACAGCAGUCACAGUAAAGAGGGAAGGGUCACUAUAUACAUCACACAGGAAGUGAUGCAACCACUGUGAUAUUUCAUACAUAAUGGGGGCCCUUGUUUUCAAAUAUAUUCUGUCAUAAAAAGUGAUAAAUAAGUCAUAGAAAGUUCAUCAGUCAUUAAAAAGUCACAUAUCAUGGUUUUAAUGUUGACAUAGAAGGAUGUGCGUGACGAUUCAAUUCUUCCUCAUUUUUUGGAAUAAAGAGAUUUAAAACAA